UGCGUAGGCGGAAUAUUAAGUCAGUGGUGAAAUCCUGCGGCUCAACCGUAGAACUGCCAUUGAUACUGAUAUUCUUGAAUGUAGUUGAGGUAGGCGGAAUGUGUAAUGUAGCGGUAAAAUGCUUAGAUAUUACACAGAACACCGAUUGCGAAGGCAGCUUACUAAACUAUGAUUGACGCUGAGGCACGAAAGCGUGGGGAGCGAACAGGAUUAGAUACCCUGGUAGUCC
rnacentral:rRNA from 1 species